UAUAUAUAAAAAUAUAUAUAAAUAAUAUUAAUGAAAAAAUAAAGAAGUAUUAUAUUUUUAUCAAAAAAAUUAAUGAGGGAUAAUUUUGUCAAUGUAAAAGUUCAUCCUUCAAUGCUCCAUCCUUCCUUCAUCCUCCCAAUUUGGAAGAAUGCAAAAAGGUGGGUUAAGGUGGAUGAACAAUCCAUCUUUUUCAUCUAUCCUUCCUAUAACUUUUUUAAACCAAAUAG
rnacentral:lncRNA from 1 species